AGGGGUAUAGCUCAGUAGUAGAGUGCGUGCUUAGCAUGCACGAGUGCUUAGCAUGCACGAGGCCAUGGGUUCAAUCCUCAGUACCUCCG
rnacentral:tRNA from 1 species